rnacentral:rRNA from 1 species
CCUACGGGAGGCAGCAGUGGGGAAUCUUGCGCAAUGGGCGAAAGCCUGACGCAGCGACGCCGCGUGCGGGAGGACGGCCUUCGGGUCGUAAACCGCUGUUGCCCGGGACGAAACGCUCUUUCGGGAGCAUUGACGGUACCGGGUGAGGAAGCACCGGCUAACUCCGUGCCAGCAGCCGCGGUAAUACGGAGGGUGCGAGCGUUGUCCGGAAUCACUGGGCGUAAAGGGCGCGUAGGCGGCUCGAGGAGUCGGGGGUGAAAGUCCGGGGCUCAACCCCGGAUCGGCCUUCGAGACUCUCGAGCUGGAGCACGGUAGAGGCGGGUGGAAUUCCGGGUGUAGCGGUGGAAUGCGUAGAGAUCCGGAAGAACACCGGUGGCGAAGGCGGCCCGCUGGGCCGUGGCUGACGCUGAGGCGCGACAGCGUGGGGAGCAAACAGGAUU